CAGCGCCACGAGUGGCAAUCAUGUAUUUGGCCUAAAGCGUCCGUAGCCGGUUUGGCAAAUCUUCUGUGAAAUCGAGCAGCUCAACUGUUCGGCGGGCAGGAGACACUACCAAACUUGGAACCGGGAGGGGUACAGAGUAUUCCAGGGGAAGCGGUAAAAUGCUAUAAUCCCUGGAGGACUACCUAUGGCGAAGGCACUGUACCAGAACGGAUUCGACGGUGAGGGACGAAAGCCAGGGGAGCGAUCCGGAUUAGAGACCCGAGUAGUCC
rnacentral:rRNA from 1 species